ensembl:lncRNA
CCUGAUUUUCAGAGUUUCAAUAAAACGUAAUUAUACUUUAUAAUUCCGCUCUUUUAAUCUUCACUUCAAAAACUAUUCACAGUGAGCAAGUUUUGCCAGGCACAGGGAGGCAGAGCGGCCCUUCCCCACAUCGGGCUGCUCACAAAUUCUGUCUUGGGGUAAACCUGUCACCAAACGGCGCAACCCAAGCUGCUUUGCAUUCCGAUUAAUAGCCCGCCUCAUUUGAAUACAAAAUAGCCCCGUUUAUGUGGUUAUUAAAAAAAAAAAAAAAAAAAGUAACAAAACCAUUUGGCAGCGAAAGGAUGUUUGAGCCAGGAUGCGUCUUUUCUGUCCUUAUUUCUUUUUCUUCUUCUUUUUUAAAUCCUGAAUGGAAUAUACUUUGGUGUCAGGACGCUUUCGUAUCGAUGGCGAGGCACUCAAAGCAGUGCCUAUAAGAACCAAAUGGGGAACGCGUGCUCUGGGAGUCAGAAAGUUCUCGUUACCCCAAAACCUAAUCAGAUUUCAGGGGUUUUAGUGUGAGUAAAUCUUCACAUCUUGUCCUCUGCUAUGUUGAGAGAAACGCCAGCAGUUUCAUUAAGAACUCCUGUUCCUAAAUAAUUCCAUGGAUUUAUUUAGAAGAGCAGAGAAGAGGAGGAGGGGAGGAAUGCGGCAAUUGCACCUUCCUCUCCCAACCCAAAAUAUCCAGACUUGAAGGAGGAAUUCCCUCUCCGUAGCUUCGUUGCCUUUCAUCUGACGGAUACUCCACGCGACAGCGCGUUUUAAGGCUUUAUCCUUACAGAACUAUCCCAAAAACGCACUUGUGCUGUACAAGGAAGAUUGCAACGUUCUCAAUUCAGCAUUUCCAAGUCGGUUUGUAAUCCAUCCCCACCCCUACUCCUUCCUCCGCGCGGCCCGUUUGAAAGCCCCCGGUAUCUCCUGUGUUUCUGCAUGUUCUUUUACAGUACGGCGCUGUCAUUUAAUUACGAGACAAUCCACCACAACUGAGCAAGCAUUUUCAUCAUUGAUAAUGUUGGUAGCAGGCAACUGAGACAAAAUGAUUACAAACCUAUGUUGCGCUCAAUAGUCCUUUAGAGGAUUUCUCUCUUAAUAGCGCUGCCUCAUUCAUGUUUGGUUCAGUACAUUUGUUCUUUAAAAAAGGCAUAGAUUAGAAGAGUUUCAGGGUAGGUUAAUAACUCAACUGAAAAUGGCUGCUCGCAUUGUCAAAGUCUGUUCCUGCAGUUGCCUGGUGCUUUCUUCAGUUCUUCCACACUGCAGCUUUGGCCCAGUUGGUAAACAGCUUAAGUCCAGACAUCUUUUCAUUCUCUGCGCAGCGGAUUGAAAUAAAAAUGCAUAUAAGUGGCGACUGACUGGCGCUGGCCUGACAAUAGCCUGUAACAUUAUGCAAGGGUAUUUACAUAGGAAUAAGGCCUUGGUAAAGAAGACAGGGGCAAUUAAUGACUAGGGCCACACAUAUAAGGAAAGUUUGUCCAAUCCUUUCUUCAAUAAAGAUCUUUUGUAAAGUGCUAUGGAAACUCAUGGAGGCCCCCAAACAGAUUAGGAGAGGGACUUUUGUGGUGUGUUUUUUGUUGUGUUUUUUUUUUUUUUUUUUUUUUCUUUUCUUAAACUUGAAGCUAAAAGGGCCAAAUUCUGUAAAGGUAAAAUGUAAUUCUUCUGCAGUUUAGGUUUUUUUUUCUAUUGUGACUCCCCCACACCGCCUUUUUUUCCCCUACAGGAACCAAUUGAGGGCAGCUACUUUCACAGGAGGAAGCACGGGAGAAAAAGAAAGCAAGCAAGUAGUGUACCUCCACCAGGGAGCACGGUGGAGGCACAGGGCUUGUAGGAGACCUGUCACGAAGCUUGACUCCUUCUGCUCACACAGGUUUGGCAUUUAAGCUAAUUUGUAAGCAUUUAGGGCCUGACUCUGAUCUCCCUUUCACCGCUGACUGGAGCUGUCAAAGCACUUCCCAGCAGAAGUAAGGUUUCAGCUCAAGGCUUGUGGAUACCAAUGAGUCCACUUCUAUUUCCCUAGGGGACACCAGCCCAAAUCACCACGAGCCAAAGACAGCACAGAAAUCCUAGUCAGUGAGGCCUGUUUCAAUGGCCAGUGAGGCCUACUCUAGUGAGUCUCAGGCUUGAGACUUGCAUGGCCCUGCUGAGGACCUCAUUUUCCAUGGCUGGCUAUGGUACAUCUGUUGAUGGCAACUUGAACAUGUCCACAGCAGUUAAGCAGUUCCAUUUUCAGGCUCAGACAUUGGUGUUCAAAGACUUUGUUCUUAUUCUAAUGACUGAUAGAGGACCUCUGUUUGGGUUGAUGCUGCAGUCUUUUAAGCACACUUUCCAGAAAGCUGUAGGUCUCUAUUUUGAGAGCAGAGCAGAGAUCCUACUGCUGAACCCAUCAUAUAUAUCCAAGAAGACAACACUUUGGUGGACAUCAACACAUUGAAAUUAAUGUCAAUUUAUGGCAUUGCGGAGCACUCUGACAAGAGCUGGCUUCUCCAUCAACUCAAAGUGCUGUGCUGGAGUGCAGCAUCCCAGUGGGGCAGCUGGACAAGCUUGGUGGCUUUGGGAAAAACCUCA